CACAUUCUUCUUCUUGCUGUUUUCAACGCGAGAGAGAAGAUGGAAACAGUGCUGUUGUUUGAUGUAAAAAAGUGUAUUCAUUUUUGGAAAAGGGAAUUAAAUUACCCAGCGCUGUUCGUGUACUUUGCAUAAAAAUAAAUAGAGAAAAGACACUGGAAAAGAUUGAAACCCAGAUCCAAUUUUAUCAUAUGAUUCAGGUUGAUGCAUCGUGCAGUAAUACAAUUAUACAGGGAUCAUGACCUCCAUUUAUUCAUGGAACGAAUCUGAAUGCUGACUGAUACAAAUUAAAAGCCAGAGCCUUGCGACGUUUGGCCGGAAUGGUAGUUUGGUAUGUCUUCUUUCUUCUAUCAGCUCCGGCAAUGACAGAAAUGAGGCAAAAACACGUGGCGUAAAUGGCGUGAAUCUUCCAGUUGGUCUUGGGCGGUUGCUUCAGCACCACCCUGUGAAACACAGUCAUGUAGUAGUGCAACCCGACGGAAAAGCCCACGAAGGUUUGGGCCAGGCCCAGGAACUUGGAGCUCAGCCCAGAAUCAGUGGAGAAGACCAAAACAAGGUACAUUACGAGGAGCAAAAGGUAGAGGACGUAAGCGAGAGUUUGGAGAACCUGCAAGCAGAGAUACGUGGAGCGCGAAGUAGAAUAGAAAAACCUGAGAGGUUCAACGCCGGUGAUGAAGGAAGAGAGGCAGAGAAUGGAGAAGUAGAUGGCGAGAUAGGCUUGGAUGAAGAUUAAGAGUUUUUGUAGUGAGAAAUAGGCUUUGAUUUUGUUGAAGAGGAGAGAGGCCAAUAGCAAAGGGAUCAAAGCGAACGCACAGGAGAGUAAAGUGGCAAUGGUGGGUGCGUACUUGUUUCCGACGUAGGGUUUGAAUCCUUUCGUCAUCUCUUUGUUGGCUUUCGUGAUGUAAGCUUUCGAAGUUGUGGAGAUUCGUUCCAGGUCAGGGAUCAGUGUUUGUUGGAACUUCUUCGGCAGAUCCCUGAACUCGGAAACCAAAUCAUCGUCCAACUCGUCUUCCAGCACCCAACUCGGUUGCGAUUCUUUCUUCUUACCACCACCACUUUUCUUGCCGGAUUCCGUCUCAUCCAGCUUCGUCUUUUUACUCGCUUCCUUGUCUUUUGUGGCGGUGGCUUUUGUGGUUUUAUUCUUGCCGCCACCGCCAGUCGUUUUCGCGAGAUUCAAUGAAGAAGAAGGUUUCUUGGUGGAAGUUGAAUUCAGCUUCUUGGACUUUAAGGUGGUGGAGUUGAGUUUCUUCACGACAACCUCGGUGUCGGUGAUGAAGGCGGUUUUGGUUUGAUUUUUGGAGGAAUUGAGGUAACUGGAUUUGACGGUUUUGGUUUGGUUUUUGGAGGAAUCAGUGGGCUUGAUCAAGGAGGUUUUGUUUUUGGUGGCUUUCUUUUUGAGGGGUUGUUGGAACUCUUGAUUUUCUUCCUCCAGCUCAAACAUUCUCCUUGCGAUGCCAUUGGACAAGGCUUUGCUACGAGGAUGAGAUUCCGAGGAAACAGUGAAACACAGAGAAACAAAAAGGAAGAAAAGAAGAGAGAGGAGGAGCAGCCUUCUGCAACGAGGGUACAAGAGUGGAGCCAUUCGGAUCCUCCAAGAUCUAAAUGGCCUGAAAGCUUAUGAACAAAAGAAAGAACAAGUUUCAUGGGGCCAUGUGAGAGAGAAGCUAGUAACUGAAGUGAGAUUGAAAAUAUUUAUUGAGUGAGUGGGAAGGUGCGCAUGGAGACAGACAGUGUGGACUUCCUUCACGACGCGGUUUCAACUUUCAACUAUUAAUGAUAAUGAUAAGGAUACCAUAUAAUAAAUUCUUAUUAUAGCAUAAUUCUCUUGUCUUAAGAAAUUGCUAAAAAAUAUCUUGCAUUAGAUUUCUUUACCUUUGUUUUCUCCAUUGACCAAUUAUGCAUGCAUAUGGGAAUUCGGUGAAAAUCAUUUUUAUAUUCCAACAAAUAGCAAUAACCAAUUAUCUCUA
rnacentral:sRNA from 1 species